rnacentral:rRNA from 1 species
GCGGAACGAGUUAUCUGAACCUUCGGGGAACGAUAACGGCGUCGAGCGGCGGACGGGUGAGUAAUGCCUAGGAAAUUGCCCUGAUGUGGGGGAUAACCAUUGGAAACGAUGGCUAAUACCGCAUGAUGCCUACGGGCCAAAGAGGGGGACCUUCGGGCCUCUCGCGUCAGGAUAUGCCUAGGUGGGAUUAGCUAGUUGGUGAGGUAAGGGCUCACCAAGGCGACGAUCCCUAGCUGGUCUGAGAGGAUGAUCAGCCACACUGGAACUGAGACACGGUCCAGACUCCUACGGGAGGCAGCAGUGGGGAAUAUUGCACAAUGGGCGCAAGCCUGAUGCAGCCAUGCCGCGUGUGUGAAGAAGGCCUUCGGGUUGUAAAGCACUUUCAGUCGUGAGGAAGGUAGUGUAGUUAAUAGCUGCAUUAUUUGACGUUAGCGACAGAAGAAGCACCGGCUAACUCCGUGCCAGCAGCCGCGGUAAUACGGAGGGUGCGAGCGUUAAUCGGAAUUACUGGGCGUAAAGCGCAUGCAGGUGGUUUGUUAAGUCAGAUGUGAAAGCCCGGGGCUCAACCUCGGAAUAGCAUUUGAAACUGGCAGACUAGAGUACUGUAGAGGGGGGGUAGAAUUUCACGUGUAGCGGUGAAAUGCGUAGAGAUCUGAAGGAAUACCGGUGGCGAAGGCGGCCCCCUGGACAGAUACUGACACUCAGAUGCGAA